UACAGAUACACUGGAAAGAGGGGCUUGGAGU
rnacentral:piRNA from 2 species